rnacentral:rRNA from 1 species
UACGAAGGGGGCUAGCGUUGCUCGGAUUGACUGGGCGUAAAGGGCGCGUAGGCGGAUAGUACAGUCAGGCGUGAAAUUCCUGGGCUCAACCUGGGGGCUGCGUUUGAUACGUAUUGUCUGGAGUUCGGAAGAGGGUCGUGGAAUUCCCAGUGUAGAGGUGAAAUUCGUAGAUAUUGGGAAGAACUCCGGUGGCGAAGGCGGCAUACUGGACCACAUCUGACGCUGAGGCGCGAAAGCCAGGGGAGCGAACGGG